CGGCGGACGGGUGAGUAACACGUGGAUAACCUACCUAUAGGACUGGGAUAACUUCGGGAAACCGGAGCUAAUACCGGAUAAUAUAUUGAACCGCAUGGUUCAAUAGUGAAAGACGGUUUUGCUGUCACUUAUAGAUGGAUCCGCGCCGCAUUAGCUAGUUGGUAAGGUAACGGCUUACCAAGGCAACGAUGCGUAGCCGACCUGAGAGGGUGAUCGGCCACACUGGAACUGAGACACGGUCCAG
rnacentral:rRNA from 1 species